rnacentral:snoRNA from 1 species
CGCCUCCUGGUGCCGGAGUUCUGAUACUGAUUAAUAGAAAGAGGAGGCAAAGUAACCACCCAUACACAUCCAAGCCUGGCGCCAAUGCCUGGUCUUUAUUGUGAAUGAGAGACAUGG